GGCAAGAUGGCCGAGUUGGUUAUGGCGCCAGGUUAAGGCCACCUUAACAAGCAAUUUCCUGGUGGAGCAAUCCUCGUGGGUUCAAAUCCCACUCUUGUCA
rnacentral:tRNA from 1 species